GGACCCGUAGCUCAGCUUGGAUAGAGCACCUGCCUCCUAAGCAGGGGGUCGCGGGUUCAAAUCCCGCCGGGUCCG
rnacentral:tRNA from 1 species